rnacentral:tRNA from 1 species
AUAGCAUAGCAGAUAGCGCACUGGUCUGUAAUACCAGAGGGCCCGGGUUUGAUCCUGGU